rnacentral:rRNA from 1 species
AUGAACGCUAGCUACAGGCUUAACACAUGCAAGUCGAGGGGCAGCAUCAUCAAAGCUUGCUUUGAUGGAUGGCGACCGGCGCACGGGUGAGUAACACGUAUCCAACCUGCCGACAACACUGGGAUAGCCUUUCGAAAGAAAGAUUAAUACCGGAUGGCAUAAUUAUUCCGCAUGGGAUAAUUAUUAAAGAAUUUCGGUUGUCGAUGGGGAUGCGUUCCAUUAGGCAGUUGGCGGGGUAACGGCCCACCAAACCAACGAUGGAUAGGGGUUCUGAGAGGAAGGUCCCCCACAUUGGAACUGAGACACGGUCCAAACUCCUACGGGAGGCAGCAGUGAGGAAUAUUGGUCAAUGGACGAGAGUCUGAACCAGCCAAGUAGCGUGAAGGAUGACUGCCCUAUGGGUUGUAAACUUCUUUUAUACGGGAAUAAAGUUAGCCACGUGUGGCUUUUUGUAUGUACCGUAUGAAUAAGGAUCGGCUAACUCCGUGCCAGCAGCCGCGGUAAUACGGAGGAUCCGAGCGUUAUCCGGAUUUAUUGGGUUUAAAGGGAGCGUAGGCGGGUUGUUAAGUCAGUUGUGAAAGUUUGCGGCUCAACCGUAAAAUUGCAGUUGAUACUGGCGACCUUGAGUGCAACAGAGGUAGGCGGAAUUCGUGGUGUAGCGGUGAAAUGCUUAGAUAUCACGAAGAACUCCGAUUGCGAAGGCAGCUUACUGGAUUGUAACUGACGCUGAUGCUCGAAAGUGUGGGUAUCAAACAGGAUUAGGUACCCUGGUAGUCCACACAGUAAACGAUGAAUACUCGCUGUUGGCGAUAUACGGUCAGCGGCCAAGCGAAAGCAUUAAGUAUUCCACCUGGGGAGUACGCCGGCAACGGUGAAACUCAAAGGAAUUGACGGGGGCCCGCACAAGCGGAGGAACAUGUGGUUUAAUUCGAUGAUACGCGAGGAACCUUACCCGGGCUUGAAUUGCAACUGAAUGAUGUGGAGACAUGUCAGCCGCAAGGCAGUUGUGAAGGUGCUGCAUGGUUGUCGUCAGCUCGUGCCGUGAGGUGUCGGCUUAAGUGCCAUAACGAGCGCAACCCUUACGGGUAGUUACCAUCAGGUUAUGCUGGGGACUCUACCCGGACUGCCGUCGUAAGAUGUGAGGAAGGUGGGGAUGACGUCAAAUCAGCACGGCCCUCACGUCCGGGGCUACACACGUGUUACAAUGGGGGGUACAGAAGGCAGCUACACGGCGACGUGGUGCUAAUCCCAAAAGCCUCUCUCAGUUCGGAUUGGAGUCUGCAACCCGACUCCAUGAAGCUGGAUUCGCUAGUAAUCGCGCAUCAGCCACGGCGCGGUGAAUACGUUCCCGGGCCUUGUACACACCGCCCGUCAAGCCAUGAAAGCCGGGGGUACCUGAAGUACGUAACCGCGAGGAGCGUCCUAGGGUAAAACUGGUGAUUGGGGCU